rnacentral:rRNA from 1 species
UACGUAGGGUGCGAGCGUUGUCCGGAAUUAUUGGGCGUAAAGAGCUUGUAGGCGGUCUGUCGCGUCUGCUGUGAAAAUCCGGGGCUCAACCCCGGACUUGCAGUGGGUACGGGCAGACUAGAGUGCGGAAGAGGCGAGUGGAAUUCCUGGUGGUAGCGGUGAAAUGCGCAGAUAUCAGGAGGAACACCGAUUGCGAAGGCAGCUCGCUGGGACGUCACUGACGCUGGAGGAGCGAAAGCGUGGGAGCAAACAGG